AUUGAACGCUGGCGGCAUGCUUUACACAUGCAAGUCGAACGGUAACAGGUCUCCGGAUGCUGACGAGUGGCGAACGGGUGAGUAAUGCAUCGGAACGUGCCCAGUCGUGGGGGAUAACGCAGCGAAAGCUGCGCUAAUACCGCCUACGAUCUAUGGAUGAAAGCGGGGGACCGUAAGGCCUCGCGCGAUUGGAGCGGCCGAUGGCAGAUUGGGUAGUUGGUGGGGUAAAGGCCCACCAAGCCAACGAUCUGUAGCUGGUCUGAGAGGACGACCAGCCACACUGGGACUGAGACACGGCCCAGACUCCUACGGGAGGCAGCAGUGGGGAAUUUUGGACAAUGGGCGCAAGCCUGAUCCAGCAAUGCCGCGUGCAGGAAGAAGGCCUUCGGGUUGUAAGCUGCUUUUGUACGGAACGAAACGGCUCUCUCUAAUACAGAGGGCUAAUGACGGUACCGUAAGAAUAAGCACCGGCUAACUACGUGCCAGCAGCCGCGGUAA
rnacentral:rRNA from 1 species